AGCGAGAAAGGGAACGGAGAGGAAGGGAGGAGCAGUUGUGGUGUUGAAGUGCAGGGUCAACCACUCUCACGGUGUAGUUGUCGUAGUUGAUUGCUUGAACAUGGUAUUCUGUAGAGUUCAGAUACAACACAGUAACAUUAUUCUCACAACCAAGUUCGUACCUUUUGUCACCGCAGCUCUCUGGGUCGCCUUGUAAUCGAAAAGGAUAAGUGAUGUUGGUGAUGUUACCACAGGAAGAAGGUGGACAACGGUGUUCUUGGUGGUCCUUGGUAGCAGAAAUAUGGUGGAGUAGAAUAAGUAGCAAUACCACCAACAAUGUUCUCUCGAACCUCAUCAUGUCCAAACUGUUUCUCUUUCAAUUCAAGAGCAACCAAUUCCAAGUUAUAUAAUGUUAUUUAAAACAACACAGACUCAAUACAUAACCCUAAAGGACCACAUUUUUCCUUUCUGAGAAUACUUUGAAGACUUACGAUACUUCAAACGCAAAUUUGACUGAGAAACGGGGUGUCUAUCUGGUUUCCACAGCUCAUCCUAAUGAAUACAAACUUUUAAAUACUCGUCAAGGGCGUGAAUUCUUAUUAGGCUUUUGGUCAUGUACAUUUUUUUAAUGGAGUUCUUCGAGUUUCUAAAGUCAUCCUAAAUUGUUCUAACUUGAAGGUUUUAUUUACCUGCAGUCUAAAAGAAUAUUUAGGGAAUUAGUUUGGGAGCCAAAUUGAAUAAAUAGUCCAUGACUUAUUUAAAUAAGGACAAAACCCUAAAUAUAUUACAAUAAAUAAAGGAAAAGUUAUCAAAAUGAAAUUUCAUAUCGUGAUCCAAAAGCAAUGUUUACAUAAUGCAUUUGAUUUUUUUCUACUUCAAAUAUUUGAAAAUUAUCCAAGGGCUAAAAGUUCCGCAAGUGUAGACUUGUGACCAAAAGAAUAUUAUCCAUGUUGAUAAGCUUUAUAUGAGUUUAACAGGUUUUCUCUUACAUAAACACUUUAUAUAUGCAAAUAUAUAAUUGACGUAGUCAAAUGACAGUGUACAUAUAACUAAUUAAUAGUUAUUGAUUGGUACAUAUAAAUAAUUAAUACUACGGCGAAGAGACGUGCUUUAUUAUUGUAUCUGUAUCUCUGAAUUAAAAUUCCAUAUCAUCUUCAUAUAUUAAAUAUAUAUGAAUUUUUUUAUUUCAUUUUCAUUCUUUUCUCAUCACCGACAAUGCUUCCUCUCUCCACAUGAUGUCCAACCCAAACUGUUUCUCGUUGAAUAGUGCAAAAAUCAAAGUUAGAUAAUGAUAUUUAAAACAACACAAACUGUAUAUAUAUAUAUAUACAUAGAGAGAACCAUAUUUUUUCUUUUAGACAAUUAUCUGAUGACUUGUGAUACGUUUACUUUGAUUGAGAAACCGCGUUUUUAUCUCGUUUCCACCACUGAUUUUAUUAAUAAAUACGAAAUUUUAAAUACGUUGUGUAGUGAAAGGGAUUUGGGUUGACAGGGAUCUUUGUGAGGAAGAUCGGAGAGAUGUGGUACCGAUAGGGGAAGAAAAUAAAUAUGAUAGUUACCGGAUAAUGAGUAGGCAUAGUGUGCGAGAUCCUAAAGGGAGACGUCAGGAUGAUCGGAAAUAUCAUAGGGAAGAUCGGGAGAAGUAUUGUCUCGAGAUGGAAGAAAAUAAAGGUGGUAGUUAUGGAAUGGUUACUGAAGAGAGUGUGCGAUUUGACGGAGCGAAAAUCUAGGGAUCAGGUAAACAGUCCUGAUUAAGAGGCUGAGUUGGCGGAGGAAGUUACGGAGCACUUGGACCUGUCCUAUCACUGCUCCUAUUUUGGUGGAAUUAUUCUCCUAUAAAUAGAAGAGCAGAUUUCAGGUAUGGGUUAGACUGUUUUUCGAUAGAUUUUGCUGGAGUGAUAGCAAAGUGAAGAGCGAAUUGAAGGUGGUCCUUUGAUAUCUCGUUCCCAACCGAAACACGUUGGAUAUAAAAAGUGAGACAAACUUUAGCUUACAAUUUUCUGACUAUAAAUUACGCUCGGAAAUAUAUAUAUAUCUAAUAUGUCUUUUCUAAUCAAGUUUGUUAGAACCUAAGAAGUUUUCUAACAAAUAAAAAAUUUUCUCAAUCACAUGCUUCUAUAUAUGUAGAUUCAAAAUUCACACCACAAUCAUAUUUUAAUCCUUAAUGAACUGAAACUUCAAUUUAUGAUAAAAAUAAGAUAUCAAAAGCGUACUAAUGUGGACAACGGUGUGUGAUUUUUCUUUCGUUAUUGUUUUUUUUUUUCUUUCCCGAUGAAAUAAAGAGAAUACAUCUUUUAAGGUACUUAAUAUUACCUUUCUUAGAUUUGAGUUAUAAGAUCACUUAGUAGUAAAGUUGGAAUUAUCAGCUGCAUUGUGCUCUCUCAUCUCCAAACGAACAUUGGAUGCUCCCGUUUCAUGCGCUGCAUUAUCGCUCUCCCGCUCCUCGUUUCAUGCGGUUCGGAAAAAAAAAAAAAAAAAAAAAAAGAGGGGAACNAAAAAAAAAAAAAAAAAAAAAGAAGGGGAACCCACCUUCCUACUCUCGCGAGGUUUCUAUUUUCUCUCGGCUCGGCUUAAAACUUCGAUAUCAGAGAGAAUAUUAUCAACUUCGACCUUUGGCUUUUCCUUCUUUGUUCAAGUCAACUACAAUAAUUUCAAAGACCAAUACGAAAAUUGAAAAAACUUCAGCCAUUUACUACAAUAAUUCCAGACAAUCAUUAUAGAGUUUGAAAAGAAUUUCAAUAUUUCCUUGCCUUUUAUUUAAAAUUAAGAAAAAAAUUAUCAAUGUUGUAAAAAUGUGUAGCUGUGUAAAUUGAAAAUGCGGCAUUUAACAAAUAUGCAAUCAAUCAAGUACAUGCAUGUAGAAAUGAACUGGCACUGCAUCAUCAGCCAUGGGAAUAAAUAAUCAAGUGAACUACUAAUAUUAUGAGCAGAUGAAGCAAAUUGUGAGCUGAUUUGGUGAAGCAAAAGUCGACAUAAAAUAAAAUAAUUUAAUGAAAUCAGUAACAAGAGGAUAAUUUACUAUGAAUUAACAAGGUUAAUAAAAUCCAAGGCUAGGCAUAGGUAAUGAACCUACUUCUUUUUCUUCUUUUUGAUCUUCUGUUCAUUCACGGCUUGUGAGAAUAAAAGUUGGACAUGGCUAAAAAAGUGCUACUCUUCCUAAAAGUAUAUUUAUAAAGGUAUAAGUGUUCUUGUAACUAUCUGUCUCGUCUUAAUACUUACUAUCUUUAUUUUUCUCAACUAUCAAGAUCUUCAAAAACUAGAAAUGUCAACAUUUCCAAACAAACGAUCUUUCAUUAAAGAACUCCAUCAUGAAUGGAAAUAUGUAGGAGUAAGGUCAAUCUUUCGAGUUUACUUCUAAACCAUCAAAUCAUUUUCUAAAAUCGUUUUCAAAUAGUUUUAUAAGGAACUACAUAACCCUUAAUGUCUUAUUUUAAAAGAUAAUGCAUAAGAGUAAGGUCAAUUCUUGUCAAGGUAAAAAAAAAACAUUUUUGUUGCUUUUGAGUAUUAUUUUUAAGGAAAAUUAAACAUAAUUGAUUGAGAAUUUACUUUGAUUAAUUAACUUCUAAUUUCUUUAGGAGAUUUAAGAAUAAACAUGAUUAAACACAAUAAGAUUUGAUUGAAAAUAUACUUUGGUUGAAUUCAUUGUGAAUAAUCUAGAAAGGUCUUGCAUUUGAUUGAAAAUCUACUUUGCUUAACUGUAUAGUCACCCUCAAGUUAAUUAAGAAUGUACUUUAAUUAAUUUGAAACCCGAAAAAUGAUCAAUUGAACAAUAAUAUGUGGAUACCAAUAAUGAAUCUAUCUUGAAAGAGGAUUUGAAUUAGUCUAUUUCAUUAUAAUUGUUUCUAAGUUUCCUAUUUGUUCUUCAAACAUUCUUCAAAUAUUAACUUCAUUGGCAUAGUUUGUCACUUUUAUUCUUGAAUAACAUUCAUAAUUAAGAGUCAAAUAUUGAAAAGUAAUUCCGUAUUCAUUGGGAGACGACUCAUGUUAUUUUAACCUUAUAUACUUUCUUAAAAACUACUUGACAAUACUGAAGUUUCCUUGAAAUUAGUAUUAAUUUAAUAGUUUCAACGGCAACAUAUCAGAGUGAAACCAGUUUUCCAUUUGGACUUUGAACUUCCUUGAGAUUAGUCGAGUUCAUCAUGUUGAGUAUAGCUUCACACAUGUCUGGACGGGCCCCUAUCUAAUGUUGGGUUAUCAUGAACCCUUAGAAUUUGUUUCCGCCUACAUUAAAAAAGCACUUUUCUGUAUUAAGUCUCUUAUUAUUAAGGCAUACCUUUUCGAAGAUGACUUAAUGGUGCGCUAGAUGGUUGUCAGCAACUGUGGACAUCAUGACAAUGUCAUUUACUUAGACCUCCAUUAUACUUCCUAUGAGGUUAACGAACACAUUGAACAUCAAACACCGAUAGGUGGCCCUAGCAUUUUUCAGGCCGAACGACUUGACCUUGUAAUAAUAAUUGGUUCCUUCAGUCAUGAAUAGAGCUGUCAAAACGGGUAACCCAACUCGACCCGGCCCGGCCCACCACGAGUUGGUCACUUAGUGAGCCAACCCGACCCGACUCAUUUAUUAGUGAGCCAGAAAAAUUUGAACUUGGCUCGACCCACCACGGGUUGGUGGGUAAACGAGUUGGUUCACUAGUCCAUUUAAUUAGAGUUUUUCUUAAAUAAAAAAUUACAAACUUUCUAUAUUCAAAUUUAAACGAAUUUCACUCCCAAAAAAUGAUGUUAAACUGAAGACAAUUCAAAAUAAUAAUAAAAAGUACAAUAUAAUCCAAAGGUCAUCCAAAAACAAACACAUAAAAUAUACAAAAAACCUGCUCCUUGAAAAAUUUAAGUGAAGAAGAGUGACAACACCGUAAAUGAGAGCAAGUUCUGUGAGAGCAGAGGUUACUUUUUUGGUAUACACAGUGUGUGAAAAAAGUAUUUUAUUUUUUAGGGUUUCAUAAAUAAAAUAAAAAAUUAAAAAAAUAAAAUUAGGUAGGUGGGUUGGCGGGCCAACCCAGCUCACCACGGGUUCAACCCGCAUGAGCCGAGUUUAAAUGAGUCGGGUUGAAAUCUGACCGCAUAAAAAAAAUUAUUUUUUUCAAACUCAACCCGACCCGAACCUGUGAUAAGUCGGGUUAGCUCGUGGGUUGUGAUCCAUUUUGAUGGCUCUAGUCAUGAAGAUCUCGUCAUCUCUUCAUCUAACAGAUAGAUUGCUAGUUGCAUUUGGAAAACUUAACUACUCGUACCUUGUUAUACAAGUUGAUUUAUGAUAGUCAAUAGAUAGUGUCUUUUGAACAUGCUUGAGGUUCUGACAAUCAUAAAUCUAUCAAAAUAAUGAAUUAUUACUUUUCUAAUGACAACAAUUUGAUUAAUGAUUGAAUUAACAAUAAAAAAUCUAAAUUAUAGUCACUAAAUUGGUGGUUAUUUAUGUAAAAUUUGAAUUAAUGUUUUUAACUAUCGAUAAAAUGUUAUAUUAGGGACUGAUUUUAAUAAAGUUACAAAUAAAUAAUUUAUUUUUGCCACUACAUUUGCAACCAAAUUUAUUUUUGUAAAUAAUGACUUCAAAGUAUAAAGUUAACCAUUGACAAGCUAUGGUGUGCAUAAUAAUAUACUUUAUGAAAGGAUUGAAUUAAUUUACAUUACAUGCAUUAAUAAGAAGUUGCACUACACUACUACAUAAAGCAUACUAUUUAAAAAACAUUUACAUCUAUUAUUCAAACAACAGAAUAAAAGUGCAGUAGUAGAAUUGUAGAUAUCAAAACAUGUUUAUCAUUGAUUAAAGAACUACAAAUAUAACAUUUCACUUGCUUCCCCUUUUCUUAUUUUUCACCAAUGCAAUGCCAUUUCUCACCCUCUUUUUUCCCGCAACCUGCAAUUACCUUGAUCGAUUUCAAUUACUACCAAAUGAAUUCAUUCAAAAUUGUUUAGAUAGAACAGGAGGUUUGAUUCCCAAAACUCAUUUCAUCAGGAAAUAAAGUAGGUUUUGGAGGUAUUUCCAAAUCUUCAAUGUCUCCUUAAAGCAUUUCCACUACUAUUGAGGGACAAUCAUUUGGUUUUAACUGUAUAUACACCAAAGUGCAACUAUGAUCAUUUUCUUUACUAUUAGCUUUUCUUCUUCGCUCAAAUCCUUUAUAUCUAUAUCUUCCUCUUCUCUAAUAUGAUUAUAUAUUCAAAGAGGAAAAUAAAGUUGACUUGAGUAUUCUGCAUUGGGAUUUAGAUUCUUCCUCUUGCUGGCCAUCUCCAUCAACAACAUUCUGAAACUAUAAACAUCAGCUCUGUAAGAUAUUCCUCCAAUAUUAUUAUAAAACAGUACUGGAUCCAUAUAUCCAAUGGUUCCUCUUGCUGCACCAUUGUGACGAAGCUAUUAUCUAUUGGAUAUAUGUAUACGGAUAUAUCAAUAAGUAAUUAUAUAUAGAUAUAUAUGUCGAUAAUUAUUUAUAAAUAUAUUCUUAUUUAAUUAUCUACAGAAAUUAUUUAUAGAUAUUUUUAUAGAUGCACUUAUGAAAAAUUUGUAUAUAACGUUAGUUACAACUAAUUUACUAACUGAUUUUUGUUCAUAAGUAAUUUGUAAAUAAAAUUGUUUUACCUUCAUAUUUUGUGACUUAACUACAAAUUUGUGCAGUAGGAAAUAGUGAUUUUUGUAAGAGCUUAAAAAGUUGUGUAGAACUUUAUAAAUAAGUUUCAUUAUUUUAAAAUACAUCAUUUUUUCAAUAUAUUUUUUUUAGAACUAUUUUCCUUCUCUUUAAGUUUUCUUAUCAUGUGUUCAUCUAUACGAAGAUCGGAGAUUGUGAGAGUGAUUCUUAUAACAAGUUUUUUGCUUUUGUCCGAUCAAUUACAAAAAUAGAAGGGUUAAAUAUGUUUUUAGUCCCUAUACUUUGGGGCGAUUUUGGUUUUAGUCUCUCUUUCAAACUAAGGUACAAUUUAGUCCUUCAACUUUAGAAAACUCUGGUUUUAGUUCUUUUUACCAAAUUUUUUUAACUUUAUUUGCUGUUUGACGCAUUUUUGCUUCAAUGUUAACUGAGAAACAUGCUUGAAACAGCAAAUAAAGUUUAAAAAAUUUGGUAAAAAGGACUAAAACCAGAGUUUUCUAAAGUUGAAAAACUAAAUUGUAUUUAGUUUGAAAGAGAGACUAAAACCAAAAUCGCCCCAAAGUAGAAGGACUAAAAACAUAUUUAAACCAAAAUAGAAAUAGUUGAUUUUUUUUAUCUCUUUUCUUAGUCUAUUAAUCUAUAUUUCACAUUUUAAAUCGCUUAAUAUGUUUCGUUUUUUAGGAAACCAAAACAAAUAACAAGGUAACAAUUUUGAAAAUUUCACGAACGUAUAACAAUUGUAAAAGAAUCGAAAUGAAGUCUAAAGGUAAGCUAAAAUUUUUCAUAUUUUUUAUAUUUAUUUAAAAAUGACAUAAGGUUUUGGUUGCAAAAGAACCAAAGCCAUAAACAUUUUUUGGUAUCGACCGAAGUGUUAGAAAAAUGUUGACAAAAUCACAAAAAAAAUUCCUGAGGCGUGUAGAGUCACUAUCCUUAAGGUCUUACCCGCGGUGUGUUGCGCAACUCCCCCAAGAUACAAUAGGAACUUCUCGAAAUAUAUUCGAGAUAAUAGAACUAGCAAGAAGCAAGAAACUCUGAUAGAGUUUAUACCCAGGAUAGAAAAUAAGAAUAAAACUAGGAAGAGAGGAAGAGAAUGAGAAAGACUCAUUUGGGAUGUUUUGCAAUGGAGAAAGAGCUCUCUAUUUAUAAAGUUAGGGAAGAAUAAAAUCAAUAAAAGACCAUAAAAGCAAUAAAUAAUUUGACCGUUGCAGCACUUAAAAAUUUGACUGUUGGAAUAUUACCGUUGAACAACGUUUCUUUUUGCAAUAAUAUAACAUUAUUACAACAAUCCCCCACUUAUUGCAAAAGAAAGUUGAGAGAAAAGAAAAGAAACUUUUAUCCUAGGGUCUCAUAGGAUGUAAUGCAUCAGAGCUGGUAUAUCAAGCUAUAUGAACCAGUCUGAGAUUGAGAAACUUAACACACAGUGUAGUUGGUAUAGCAAACUAUAUGAACCAAAGACACUUGACGUGUGUUAGAGGUUUAUCAACCACAAUACACCCGUACAAUCCUUGUUGUUAUCACUGUGUUGCGUUGUGUUGCGCUUACUAGGUCAUGCGCGUGCCCGGUAUUCAUGAGUGCUCUAGAGAUCAUGCCAAGAUCUCAUGCAAGCGGCCCCACUUACACUCAUAUAGGUGAUUUCAUCAAGUGCAUGCUGUAAAUCAUACACCACCCAUAAGGGAUACGAAAUCAUUAAAAACUUUGUUUAAGCUAAAAUUCUUUCAACACAGAGAAUUUUAAUAACAAAGUUUAGUCUCUCAAUAAUGCAGUCUCUAGUACUAUCACACACACCAUCACACACACCAUAGGAAGGGACAUAAUUGAUUAAAAUCAAUUUAGUGCUAUUAGAACUAACAAGUGACUUGUUUUUACCCAUAUGAACCUUAUUCAUGGGAUCUCCAAUCACAAAGGUUGGGUUAUCAUCACUUGUUUGUUUGCAAGUGGCUUAAGCCCCAUUCUCCUCAAUGUUUUAAAUAUCAUUUGUCUUCCCAGGGGUUUUGUGAGAGGAUCCGCUAGAUUCCGUUCUGACUCCACAUAAUCAAUAGAAGUAGAUACAUUCUUUAGUAGUUGCUUCACCAAAUUAUGUCUCAAUUGAAUAUGUCUAUUCUUUCCAUUGUAAUUCUUCUCUUUUAGCUAUAGCUAUUGCCGAUUGGCAAUCAUAGUAUAUUGAGAUUGAUGGGGUUUAUUUCAUUCCUAGUGGAAUGUUUGCUAAGAAGUUUUUCAACCACUCAGUCUCACUACCAGCCAUCUCAAGAGCAACAAACUCGGAUUCCAUUGUUGAUCUUGCAACAAUAGUUUGUCUGGCUGAUCUCCAUGUAAUCGCACCACCCCUAAGUGUGAAUACAUAACCACUAGUGGAUUUUGUCUCGUCUGAAUCAGAGAUCUAAUUAGCAUCACUGUACCCUUCUAGUACAACGGGAAAUCCACUAUAUUCAAUGGCAUACCUCUUAAGUAUCUCAUAAGCCUAGCAAUAUAUAGUUCUUCAAUGGCAUAAACCUUUUGAAAACAUAAAACUUUGGUUUUGAAAACAUAAAACUUCUUAAGAAGUUUCUCAAUAUAUAGUUCUUGGGAUAGUAACCCUUCCUUAUGAUUAUAACAUCUAAAAUUAUAUAAACUGAAUAGAUUCUAUGGGAUCUCUAAACCCAAUAGGUUUAAGCUGUAGCAACCCAAAGUCCUCAGAACACGUAGCCGUGGCCUCCGUGAACUCUCACCAUUGUAAGGAAAGGUACGACCCUCAUCACGGUUUGCUCUGAAGGAGCAUGCUUCCACGAUCCCGACGUUGUCGCGGUUAUACCUACUGUCACGAAGAGACGUUGUUGUGACCCACCACGGACACCAAUUGGACACGCCUAUUGCCAUUGCUGGCCUCUUGCCUCCAACUCGGCACUCUCGUUGAUCAUGCUCGCAAAGAAAAAAUUAGGAAAGAUGAGAGGAAGGAGAAAGUCUCCUUGCAUGAGACCAGGGAAUAAGAAAAUAACCCUUCAAAACUAGGUCUGACUUCCCUUCCAAUGUUGUAAUAAACUACACUACAUCUAAACUAAACUAAACCAGUAUGUUGAAGGCAAAGCUAAAAUCACUUAAUGGCAAAAUAUAAUUGAGAUGAUCAUUAAAAUAGUUAUGCCUCAAAUUAUAGCCCAAACAACAAUUCCAACAAUACUACCAGUAAUUAUUUCCUCAACACACUUCACACAUAAAUCACGACUAUAUAUCUCUCUUACACGCUUAACAAGUAUAGCGUUCACAAUUUUUUUUUAGUACAAAACAGAGAAUGAGUAUAUUUGAUUCAGCAUCAAUUAAAAAAAAAUUCUUUGCCUUUUUAAAAUAAUAUUUUAGUUCGUGUACAUAAUUAUCACAUAAAACAAAAAGAAGAAUGAAAGUAACAUUCCAUAGACUAAACAUAGGUAUGACAACAAUUUGAGUAAAACCACUAAAGUAUGCAAAACAACAUUCAACCUAUCAAGAAAAGUUCACGGCAAUUACAAUAUUGAAAGGAUUCCUAAUACAAAUAUCUAUCAUGCCAUAAUUCAUAUAUCAUUUUUCUCAAAUUAUAAAAGAAUAACAGGUAUUCCCAUAUAUUUCACCAAAUCCAUUCUACAUCAAAGCAUGUAUAAGAGAAUCUCCAUUUUUUUUUUCAAAGCAAUUAAUCAAAAUUAAUUGGCUUUAAUGCUACAGUUUUUUUUUUUUCAUUUCAGAAUACUUUAAGCAUAAUUGAUUGCCUAAUAUAACAUUGUUACGUUACAGCCACCAUAUUUACGUAUUCAUUUAAAUUAUUUUUCUCUUUAAAAUUCACAUCUCAUAAAAAUAAAAUUAAUUUCAUGUGGACAUAGAAAUAAUCAAUAUCUAAUGACCCUCAAACAAAUUUUCAUUGAUUAGAGAGAAUAUUAAAAAAUAUCACCAAUCAUUCAAACAAAAGACACAUAUCUAACAAAACAUUCAUAGAUAAAUUAUCAAUUAAUAAAUAAAUAUGAUUAGGUAGAUUUAAUUGAAUCAUCCAAUUAAUAAUUCGGGAGGUAAUUAGAAAUUAUCAUUUACGGAAACUAACAUUAACAGAUUUUAAAUUCCUAAUUAAUUUACAUUAUCAUCAUCCUUAAUCCUUCAUAAAUAAGAAACUUCAAUUUCUCAUAAAUUAUUAAUUAUAAUUCAAAGAAAACCAUAAUUCCUAAUUUAUUCUUUUAUACUAGCUUUUAUUCACUUCCUUUUAAAUUAUCAUUCAAAUAUUUACAUCAGAUUAUAUAUUAACGAGAAUAAACCUAAUGAGAACAACUAUAAUUUCAUACUUCUCCAAAUAAUCACACGUUCCAAUUAAUUAUUCAAAAACAUUCAAAAUUUCUAUCAAUCAAAUAAAUACAUAAUUAUUAAGUAAGUUUCCUGUACCUUUUACUUUUGAUAUAAGUCUUUAAUAUUGUUAGAAAAAUGCUGACAAACAAAAAAUUUCUUGAGGCAUGUAGAUGUUCUUAAGGAAUUAUUUGCGGUGUAUUGCGCAAGUCCCCCAGGAUAUAAUAAAAACUUCUCGAGAUAUAUUUGAGGAUCACAGAACUAGCAAGAAGCAAAAAACUCUGAUGGAGUUUAUACCAGGAUAGAAAAUAAGAAUAAAACUAGGAAGAGAGGAGAAUGAGAAAGACUCAUUUGGAAUGUUUUGCAAUGGAGAAAGAGCUCUCUAUUUAUAGAGUUAGGGAAGAAUAAAAUCAAUAAAAGAACAUAAAAGCAAUAAAUAAUUUUACCGUUGCAGCACUUAAAAAAUUGAGUGUUGAAAUAUUACCGUUGAACAACGUUUCUUUUACAAUAAUCUAACAUUAUUACAACACGAAGUCGAAAAGUGUACUAAAACUUUCAAAUUGUUUUAAAAAAAUUUACUAGAACCUAUUUAUUUUUUGUGAAAAAGAUAUAUGGCCUCAGAGGUUUCAAAUAACUAAAACCAUAUGCCCUUUCUAUGUGAACAACCGAAGUUACAAGUAAUUAAAAAUUUUAAAAUUAAAUAUCUAUUUCGUUUUAAAAAAUCUAGAGGUAUCAAAAUUCUACGAAGGACUUUAGCUUUUCUUCUAGUAAUGGGCAGAGAAGAAGCAUCGAAAGCAUAAAUAUAUGGUUUUAGAAUCAAAGUCAAUAUUUGUUGAGAUUAUUAAUUCUGAAAUCUGAUAUUCAUGUAACUAUUUUAAAGUAUAAUAACAUGUCCAUUUAUCACAUACUUCACUACAAAAUACAAAAAUGAUAAACAAAGUGAAACAUUACGAACAACCGAGUAUUUACAAUAAGAAGAUGGAUGAAAAUAAGUAUUAUUGUGCAUCGUGGAAUUGUAUAUACUUUACAAGCGAAGUAGUUUCAACAUUGAAUAUAUCUAGUUGGAGUUUAUUGUUUGAUCCUCUGUCACUGUUUCAUCUGGAUAUAGAAUAGGUUUUGGAGGCAUUUCUAAGUCUUCAAUGUCUCCUUCAAGCAUUUCCACUACUUUAUUCAUUGAGGGGCGAUCAUUUGGUUUCAACUGUAUACACCAUAGUGCCACUAUAAUCAUCUUCUUUACUAUUGUCUUUUCAUCCUUUGUCAAUUCUUCCAUUUCAGUAAUUUCCUCUUCUCUAAUGUGAUUAUAAAUCCAAAGAGGAAAGUAAAGUUGACUUGAAUGUUCAGCAUAGGGGUUAAGAUUCUUUCUCUUACUUGCCAUCUCCAUCAAGAGCAUUCCAAAACUAUAAACAUCAGCCUUAUUGGAUAUUCCUCCAAUAUUAUUAUAAAACAAUUCUGGAGCCAUAUAUCCAAUGGUUCCUCUUGCUGCAGUCAUUGGAAUAAUACUGUUAUCUAUUGAAUAUAACUUUGCCAAUCCAAAGUCAGAGAUCUUGGGGAGAAAGUUUUCAUCAAGGAGGAUGUUGUGGGGUUUGAUAUCAAAAUGCAAAAUCUUCAUCUCACAACCAUGGUGGAGAUAAGCUAUUCCGCGAGCCACUUCAAUUGAUAUAUUAUAUAUUUUUUCAUAACUUAAAUGUACACUCUCAUCCUUUGAAAAAAUAAAUUUAUCAAGAGAUCCAUUGGACAUGAAUUCAUACACAAUAUAACGCUUUGAGCCAUGAACACAAAAUCCAAUUAAUUGUACCACAUUUUGAUGAUGUAUUCUUCCAAUUGUUGCAACUUCGCUAAUAAAAUCUUGUCCAUUUCCUUUAGAUUUAUCUAACAUUUUGAUUGCCACACAAGGUCCACUGCAUAACUUUGCCUUAAAGACAGAACCAAAUCCUCCUUCACCUAACUUGUCUUUGAAACCUCCGGCCAUCUUCUUAAUUUCCUUGUAUGAGUAUCUAAUCGGUGCCAUAUUAUACUGUUCAAGAUAAUUUUCAAUAUUUUGAUACAUUGAUGCAUGUCUUUUCCUCCAUUUAGAUAUGAAAAUCACGAUUAAGAAUGGAAAUCCAAACAAAAUUUUGUAGGCCCAUACCAUAGAAGCAUAAAUGACAAUACCUGUAACAAGGAUUUCUUUCUCGUAUAAUUACACUGAUAAUGUAAUGUAUUAAAGUAUUUGUUAAAAGUAAUAAAAUCUAAACUUUACAUAUCCAUUUACUUAGUAACAUUAGAAAAAAAAAAGAGUAAAUUUAAUGUCUAGCAAAAAAAACUAUCAAUAAAUUCAAUUUGUUGACAGUAUUAUCUAUAAAUGGUAAAUUAAGAUGAUAAAAAUUCGUACCUUUCAGGAUAUCCAGUAAACCUGUACAUCGCAAAAACAAGGAAAGCAUAAAUUUCACCAUUUGCAUAAUUUCAUAAAGCUAUAAUGAAUGAUUUUUUCUUUACAUGAGCAUGAUGACUGAUACAGGUGAAAUAAAGAAAAUAAUGAAUUAUAAAUUUUGUUUUCUCUAAAUAUUGAUUGAAUAAACAAAACAAUGGUUUAUCAAUAAUACCCAAUUAAAAAUAAUCUAUCAAUCUGUGUGUGUAGUGACUCACCAAACGAGCAUUGAAGCUUCUGUCUAGAAGAGUCGAAAUAGCAGAAGCCGUCCCCGAAUGUACAAGAAAUCUUCUGACAGGCGAGUUUUAUCCAAGAGAUCUCAAAUCCAUAGGCGAGAGCCCUGUGAAUGGCAGCGUAUGAAUGGUUAUUGAAACUCCUGAACGAUGUGGGAGCAACAAGCUUCACGUCACACCCUACUUCUAAGUCUUCAGCUUUUAGGUCUCCACCCACUGCAUAUGCAUAACCUUUUGAGUCCCACUUCACGCACUCACCAUUCUCCGUAUACUUCCCGUUCUCUCUCACCGAAUGGUUACAGUUCAGAAAUACUAUAUGCUCGAAACUCAGAGAUUCCCAAUUUUGAUAAAGAUAUAGACCGGCUUGGUAUAGAUCGGCGGAGUCAGUGUAAGUAUCAGAGAAAUUGGAGCGAGAGAGAGAACGGAGAGGAAGGGAGGAGCAGUUGUGGUGUUGAAGUGCAGGAUCAACCACUCUCACGGUGUAGUUGUCGUAGUUGAUUGCUUGAAUAUGGUAUUGUGUAGAGUUCAGGUACAACACAGUAACAUUAUUCUNACAACCAAGCUCGUACCUUUCGUCACCGCAAUUCUCUGGGUCGGCUUGUAAUCGAAAGGGAUAAGUUAUGUUGGUGAUGUUGCCACAGGAAGAAGGAGGGCAGCCACCAUGAAUUUUGGGGAGUAGAAGUAGCACCACCACCAUGAAUGCUCUCUCUCUGCACAUAAUGUCCAAACUGUUUCAUUGAAUUUGGAAACAAUAGGGUUGCUCUUUUUCCAUAUUGAUAUUUAAAAUAACACAGAUUGAUAACUAUAAGAAAAAGCACCAAAAAACGAAAAUUUUCCAUUUUGAAAAUUAUUUAACAUACCUAAAACGUAGACUUUGACUACAAAUUUUCCACAGCUCAGUUUCAUGAAUACAAAUUCUUAUUAGGUAUUUAAUCAUGUGAUUUCUUUUAAUGGAAUUCUUCGAGUUUCUAAAGCCAUUCUAAAUUGUUCUUUUCGGAUGGUUUAGUUAAUAUGCUGUCAAAAAAUAACUUUAGGGAAUUAUAGUUCGAGAACACAAUUAAAGAAAUAAUUCAGAAUAGGGACAAAACUUAAAUAUAUUGUAAGAAAAUAGGAAAAUUAUCGAAAUAAAUUGUAAUAUCCUGAUUGAAAAAACAAUAUUUAUACAAUGCAUCUGAUAUUUUUUUUCUACUUUAAAUAUCUGCAAAUUCAAGGGCUAAAAGUUCCACCACAUGUGUAGACUUGUAGCGAAACGUGUUGACAAGCGUUAUAGCCUCAAAUUCUAAUAGAUAUAUAAACACUUGAUAUCCACAUACGUAAUAUGUAGAGUCAAAUGACGAUGUACAUAUAAUUCAUAUAUUGAAAAUAAUUAUUAUUGGUCAGUGUGUUCAAAUUGUAAUUCUCACUCACUGUCAGUAUUACAUUAACAUUAACAUUAACAUAAUAGAUUUUAAUGAAUUUGAAUAAGUUAGCUAAUUUUCCAUGAAUAUAACGGAUGUACAUUCCAGCUUUUAUUCUACCCCUGCUUAACACAAACAAAAUUAUAGUAAUAGAGUUAAACACUUUGGCUAUNACACCCUCAACUAAUUAUUUUAUAUGAGAAAUGGCAUUUUGUCACUAUAAAAAUUCGACAAUUAUUUUCAGCAGUACUAUAUCCUUUAAAAAAAGUAAAUUUUUGUAUCUAUUAAAAAAAUGAAAGGAAAAAUAAUAAAUAUAAAGUAAGGGUAAAAGUUUAUUGGAUGUCAAUGGAAAAGUGGUGCACACAUUAACCACCAAUUAAUUCAAUGACAUAUAUUAUAAUAAAAAGUUAAUAGUACUAUUACACUAUUCAUUUGACACAGUAUAUAAGGAUAAAAUGGUCAUUAUAUAGUAGGACCAUCCGGUCAGUCAAAGGACCAAGCCGCUAACUAUCCAGUAAGAAAAUGACCACCUGUCUGGAAAUAAAUCUGGUGAUUAAUGAAUCACACCUAAUGGUAAGCUCAUUGUAAUAUUUAUAAAUAUUUGUCUAACAGAAAAGGCAGGUAAUUUGAAUUCUGAUCACUAAUCUUUACUACAAAAUUAUUACGCAAAGUCACCGACUUGAGCGUCGGAGUGUCUUUUGUAGNUAACUUUCCCCACGGCUAGGACAAGGAGAAGAGAGAGAGCAACGCAACUGGAUGAUGGAAUCGACAACUUUAAAUGCUUUGGNUUAGGAAUCUCAAUCCUACUGAAANAUUUUGGCNCUAAAAAUGUAAAGUUUUGUAUUUUUUUCAAAAUAUAAAAGAAGAAAAAGUAAAUAAAGAUAGUGUCAAAUAAAUGUAAAAAAUUUAAAUNUUGGUAACAUAAUUAACGUAGCAUUGGGAAAUCAAUAACCAAUAGACUACUCGAUUAAGGGUGAUUAAUUGGUUGAGCAUAAUUUUAUUAGUUACAACUAUAUGUAAAUAAUGACUUCAAAGUAUAACAUUAACCAUUGUUAGAUCUUGACAAGCUAUUCACANAGUCUAUGUUGUGCAUUUCAAAUAAUAUACUUUAUCAAGGAUUCAAAUAAUUUACUUUACAUGGAUUAAUAAGAAGUUGCACUACACUACCACAGAAAGCAUAUUAUUUAAAAAACAUCCACAUCUAUUAUUCAAAUAACAGGUACAAUAAAAGUGCAGCACUAGAAUUGUAGAUAUCAAAACAUAUUUAUCAUUGAUUAAAGAACUACUAUUACAUUUCACCUACUUCCCCUUUUCGGUAUUUUUCACCAAUGCAAUGCGAAUUUUCAACCUUUUGCCCGCAACCUGCAAUUACCUUUAUCAAUUUCAAUCACUACCAGAUGAACUCAUUCAAAAUUGUUUAGAUAGAACUGGCGAUUUGAUCUCCUACACUCAUUUCAUCAGGAAAUAAAGUAGGUUUUGGAGGUAUUUCCAAAUCUUCAAUGUCUCCUUCAAGCAUUUCCACUACUCUAUUCAUUGAUGGACGAUCCUUUGGUUUUAACUGUAUACACCAAAGUGCAACUAUUAUCAUUUUCUUUACUAUUAGCUUUUCCUCUUCGNUCAAAUCCUUUAUAUCNANAUCUUCCUCUUNUNUAAUAUGAUUAUAUAUCCAAAGGGGAAAAUAAAGUUGACUUGAGUGUUCUGCAUGGGGAUUUAGNUUNUUCCUCUUGCUNGCCAUCUCCAUCAACAACAUUCCNAAACUAUANACAUCAGCUUUGUGNGAUAUUCCUCCAAUAUUAUUGUAAAACAAUUCUGGAGCCAUAUAUCCAAUGGUUCCUCUUGCUGCUGUCAUUGUNACAAUGCUAUUAUNUAUUGGAUAUAACUUUGCUAAUCCAAAGUCAGAAANNUUUGGGAUGAAGUUNUCAUCCAAUAAGAUGUUAUGGGGUUUNAUAUCAAAAUGCAAAAUCUGCAUCUCACANCCAUGAUGGAGAUAAGCAAUUCCACGAGCUACUCCAAUCGAUAUCUUAUAUAUUUUUUCAUAGCUAAAAUCUAUAUUUUCAUUUCCUGAAAAUAUAAAUUUAUCAAGAGAUCCAUUGGGCAUGAAUUCAUAAACAAGAGCGCGCUUNGAGCCACUAACACAAAAUCCAAUUAAUUGAACCACAUUUUGGUGAUGUAUUCUUCCAAUAGUUGCAACUUCAUUGAUAAAAUCUUGUCCAUUUCCUUUGGCUUUACCUAAUAUUUUGAUUGCCACAGAAGGUCCACUGCGUAACUUUGCCUUAAACACACAGCCAAAUCCUCCUUGACCUAACUUCUCUUUGAAACCUUCAGUCAUCUUCUUAAUUUCCUUGUAUGAGUAUCUGAUAGGUGCUAAGUGAUUUUGUUCAAGGUAAUUUUCAAUAUUUUCAUACAUUGAUGAAUGUCUUUUCCUCCAUUUACAUAUGAAAAUCACAAUUAGGAAUGGCAAUCCAAACAAAAUUUUGUAGGCCCAUACUAUAGAAGCAUAAAUGGAAAUAUCUGCAAGGAUUUCUUUUCUUUAGUAAAUAACACUGAUAAUGUAAUAUAGUACAGUAUUUGUUUAAAGCACAUUUUCAUUAAUAAAAUCUAAAUUUAACAUAUCCAUUUACAUAGUAACAUUAGAAAAAAGAAAGUAAAUUUAAUACCUAGCAUGAACAACUAUUAAUAAAUUCUAUUUUUGACACAAUUAUCCAUAAAUAAAUUCACUUAUGGUUGUCAAAAAUAAAAACUAAUCUUUUAAAGUAAUUUCUUUAGUUUCCAUAAACGUCUUAGAUUCAGUUUGUGUUCUUCAAACCCUUAGAACGUAUUUCCAUACCUCAAAUUUGCAAAUCACAGUCCUUUUAUCUUAGAAAAAUAACAUUUAAUAAUACCAAGAAAAUACUGCUUUACGGACGGAGAAAAAAAAAAUAAUUGGUAACAUAAUGUUUAUCAAUAAAUUUUAUAGAAAAAAAAAAUUAUAUGUAAAACAUAAGUUAUCAAUAAUUUUUAUAAAUAUAUUUUAAGAUUUUAAUUCACGAUAAAAAUAUUUGGUGAUAAUGGAUUUAUUAGCAAAAUUUAUCGGCCAUUUAAAUUAUUUAUUAUUGAUAAAUGUUUUUAUGGUUAAAUUUUUCUUAUAAAAUAGAUAUUAUAAUUUUCACUUUAAUUCUGUAAUAAAGUUCAUUGAUAAAAUAAUAUUUAUAACAAACUUUACUGAUAAAAAAGUUAUUGAUAAACAAAAUUUACUUACAGAUUUUUUAAAUUAGGAAUGUGAGAAAACUAGAACUUACACCAUUUAAGUAAAGGUACUCGCAAUUGUAUUUCAUUUCUUUCCGUGCCUCAAUGGGUUUAUCUACAACUAUUGAAGUGUCCAUGGUUGUCACUCCUUUUAAAGCUCUUUUAAAAGCAUCUUUGUCCUCAUAAUGAUAAUAGUAUUCACUUUCACUUGACCCAAACAUCCUUGUUUCCUAACCUAAGAUGUUGUUUGAUUAUGGAAUCACUGAUUCGAUCAACAUUUACAGCCAUUUGCUAUCUUCUAUCACAUAAACUUUCUUUCAAUGUAUCCAUCUUGUUGGUGUCAUAAAACCUUCUAGGGAAGUUUUUCUUCAACCAUUAUUUCCCUUACUUAACCCAAAACUUUGUUCCUUCCCAUCUUCCUAAUACAUUGAAAAGGUUUUAUUAAUUUAAAACAUAGACAACUUUGAGCAUUGAUGUAUAUACAUACCUCUCUCCAUUAAAUUUAAAAAUAUUAAAUAUUACUCAUACUUUUAUUCAUUUUACUACAAUAUAAAUAAUUUAAACAAAUUUAGAGAAGAACACCUUUAUUUUUUUUAUCCCUAAUCAAUUCAGAAAAAAUAUUAAGAAAAAUAUACAGACGAUUGUAUCUUUAACCUUGGCCAAAUGUUCUAUUAGUUUAAUAACAUUUCUAUUAAUGAUCAUUUCAAAACUACUAUUAAAAGUCUAUUUUAAUCAUUGGUAUAAAAGCUCUACGGUUGUAAUUAAAGUAUUGAGAAAUUAAUAUGAUAAGAUCUUACCAAAUAACCAAAAUAAUAUUUCCCGUAGUCCAUAAAACCCUGAAAUGAAAGAAAACAUCAACUUUAGGAUUCUGACAAUCUCAACAAUUAUUAAUAAAAAACCGUUUUCGUACGAAAAGGUAAUAUAACAGUAAACAAGUUUAACAACUUUUUAUUUAUUUUAAAAUAAUAAAUGUCAAUAUAAUGCAGAAGUUCUUAUAAUUGCAUGUAAAAUAUAAAAGAUAAAUAAAUAUUAUAUUUCUUUCUAAAAUUUGAUUGAAUUAUUAACUUAAAUGAUUCAAACUUUGUUUCAAAAAAUUCUGAAAAAGUGGUUAAUAUAGAUGAAAUGUGAUUUUCUUACUAAUUUGAAUAUGUAUAAUUAUGUAAAAUGUUAUUUGAAGACANUCGAGUAUCAAUUAAAUAAAUAAAAAAUAUAAAUGAUUUAAUUUAACAUGAAAAGUAGAAAAAAUUAGAAAAAUGGUACAAAGAUUGUAAUUAUAGAAAGUGAAGUGAAUGGGUAAAGCAAUGGAAUACAAUAAAAUGUGUGGCAAGUUAAAGGGAUCAAACAUUUUAAUUUUUCAAGGGAUGAUCACAAUAAAUUCACAUAGGUAGAAAUUAAAAAUUGUGUACCUCCUAUAAAAAAAACGACUAUAAAAUAAAGAUAAAAANNNNNNNNNNNNNNNNNNNNNNNNNNNNNNNNNNNNNNNNNNNNNNNNNNNNNNNNNNNNNNNNNNNNNNNNNNNNNNNNNNNNNNNNNNNNNNNNNNNNNNNNNNNNNNNNNNNNNNNNNNNNNNNNNNNNNNNNNNNNACGUCACACCCAACUUCUAAGUCCUCAGCUUUUAGGUCUCCACCCACUGCAUAUGCAUAGCCCUUUGAGUCCCACUUCACGCACUCACCACUCUCCACAUACUUUCCGUUCUCUUUCACCGAAUGGUUACAGUUCAGAAACACUAUAUGCUCAAAACUCAGAGAUUCCCAAUUUCGAUACCAAUCUAGACCGGCUUGGUAUAGAUCCGAGGAGAAAGUGUAAGUAUCAGAGAAAUUGGAGCGAGAAAGAGAACGGAGAGGAAGGGAGGAGCAGUUGUGGUGCUGAAGUGCAGGGUCAACCACUCUUACUGUGUAGUUGUCGUAGUUGAUUGCUUGAACAUGGUAUUGUAUAGAGUUCAGAUACAACACAGUAACAUUAUUCUGACAAACAAGCUUGUACCUUUCGUCACCACAGUUCUCUGGGUCGCCUUGUAAUCGAAAUGGAUAACUGAUUUUGGGGAUGUUGCCACAGGAAGAAGGUGGACAACGGUGUUGUUGGUGGUCCUUGGUAGCAGAAAUAUGGUGGAGUAGAAUAAGUAGCAGUACCACCAGCAAUGUUCUCUCUCUCCUCAUCAUGUCCGAACUGUUUCUCAUAAUAUUUUAGUGCAACCAACACAUAAUCCUAAAAUAAAAA
rnacentral:lncRNA from 1 species